GAUGAACGCUGGCGGCGUGCCUAAUACAUGCCAGUCGAGCGAACAGACGAGGAGCUUGCUCCUCUGACGUUAGCGGCGGACGGGUGAGUAACACGUGUAUAACCUACCUAUAAGACUGGGAUAACUUCGGGAAACCGGGCUAAUACCGGAAAAUAUAUUGAACCGCAUGGUUCAAUAGUGAAAGACGGUUUUGCUGGCACUUAUAGAUGGAUCCGCGCCGCAUUAGCUAGUUGGUAAGGUAACGGCUUACCAAGGCGACGAUGCGUAGCCGACCUGAGAGGGGGAUAGGCCACACUGGAACUGAGACACGGUCCAGACUACUAAGGGAGGCAGCAGUAGGGAAUCUUCCGCAAUGGGCGAAAGCAUGACGGAGCAACGCCGCGUGAGUUAUGAAGGUCUUCGGAUCGUAAAACUCUGUUAUUAGGGAAGAACAAAUGUGGAAGUAACUAUGCACGUCUUGACGGUACCUAAUCAGAAAGCCACGGCUAACUACGUG
rnacentral:rRNA from 1 species